UUUUUAUAACAAUGUAAAGCGCUAAAGCAGUAAAGCGAACGCCGAGAAGUGAUAGUAUAAAAUAUUAUAUAAUGGCAUUUAUUACAACUACUUAUGUGUUGUUUUAUUACUGUUGAAGAGGACAUCAACGCGUCUUCAUGCAUACACUAUGUGAUUCUACGUUGAUAACCAUUUUAUCGUUUAAUCUGUCGUCGCCCACUGUCAAACGCAAGAAACUUUUACUCUUUUUGAGGGCGAGUAGAAUCUGUGAUUAAAAACUAUUGUGUUAUGCAAAGUG